GCGAGGCGAAGCCGCGAGGCGGAGCGAAUCGCUAAAAGCCGUCCCAGUUCGGAUUGCAGGCUGCAACCCGCCUGCAUGAAGUUGGAAUCGCUAGUAAUCGCGGAUCAGCAUGCCGCGGUGAAUACGUUCCCGGGCCUUGUACACACCGCCCGUCACACCAUGAGAGUCGGGAACACCCGAAGUCCGUAGCCUGACCGCAAGGGGGGCGCGGCCGAAGGUGGGUUCGAUAAUUGGGGUGAAGUCGUAACAAGGUAUC
rnacentral:rRNA from 1 species